AUAGCCCAAAUUCUUGCUUACAGUUUUGUUUAGAAAUUGUUCAUACAAGAUGCUGAUAAACAUUUUAGAUUCAAGCUUACUGUUCUAUUAUUUUAUUUUUUAUGAAUUUAAAGCAAAUGUUUGCUUUUGUUGAUAGAACAGUAAAUAUAAUAUUGUUGUUGAUGCGUUUCAAAGAUUUCAUGUUUUGCAUUUCUGAUUUAUUUUCUUUACUGAUGUAACCAGGAGACUGUCAUCCAGGGUUUCAUCCCAGCUGGGAGGAUAGACACUUAUUUGCACGCUUGAGAGUUGGUGGCCUUUACAGACUCAACAGUUUUUACGGGUCUAACAACAAGACUUUGUAUCGUGUUGCGGAACCAAGUUUCACCGUCACAUUCUCAUCGAGUUCCGUCCUCUCUGAUCUAAUGGACAGUCCGGUUUGUUUCCCUGAGGACCGGUUCCGGAUUCAUGGAUAUGAGGAGUUCGAUGCUGCCUGCGACUUGAAAGGGGAUCUUUAUGGUAAGUUCCCACUAUUAUAUAAUGCGUUUAAAUCAAUCAAGUAUGUUCAGGAUUCUUUGUCUAGAAUAAUGGUUUGAUCUACACUUACAAUUUUUAGGUUUCAUUGUUGGGUUUCUGAUAUAUGAAGCAUUGAGUAUGUUUUUUUAUCUUGCAGAUUAUGUUGGCCAUAUCAAGCUUGUGAAUGGGCAGGUUCUCAGUGAUAGUCUCAUGCUAGAUGAUGCCGAGAUAGCUUCAUCACGCCGCGUCCUACUCCAUGUUCAAACACAUGAUGAUCCGGUGAUCAAGUUGUACCUAUGGGACAAGGUUGCAUCGGAUUUUAGUGAGAAAUUUAAAGCAACUGGAGGAACCGCACGUGUUGUUUUGGUCACUACUCUAAACCCGAAACGAUUUGGAGGUCCGUAUUAGUAAUCUUUUUUUAUUGUUUAAGAUGUACAUAUGAUGGUCAAGGAAUCUUAUCUGCUUAGAUUAGCUUUGGUAGUAGAACUGCUUUUGGUAUAAAUUGGAGCAUAAUAGCUAUGAGUAACCGAUAGGUUCAGAGAUAGCAAAUAGAGAGAUACACAUAUUUAUACAUCUCAUUUUACAUUAAAACUUCUCAUAUGUAUUAUAACAAUGGAUCUGUUAUAGGUGCCCUAGCUCUCUCUUCUAUGACGUCAUCACGCGUAUUUUUAGACACUGAUGUUCAAGAAACCGAAGAGUAUCUCACUUUGUAAGCGUUCUUUAUUUAAAUUUUGGCUGCUGUUAUUCCACGAUGUAAUUGAUGUUUGGACGGUUGCUUCAGGAUGAACGCGAACUUAGCUGUUGCCAACAGAGUGAAUGCAGACGUUGUUACCAAGACUGAGACAGUGACCAUAGGCGAUCUCUUUUCCUAUAUGAAGCAGGAAGAUGCCAAGGUUAUACAAUAUCAAUGAAUAACGCAUUCAAUAUGAUAGUCUUAGUCUCUUAUUUGAUUGUUUAACAUCUUGCAGGUUGCUUGGUUUGAGUGCAUAGCAACCAUUGCUGAUGUUGUGCACGGUUCAUCCUGGUAUUACAUAGGCUGUGGUGGGUGCCACACUAAGGCAACCAAAGGGCCUACCACCCUUAUGUGUAGGAAAUGUGGGAAAACCGAAAUUGUUGGUGAUGCACAGUAAGUGACUCAGCUGUACUUAUUCUUAUACUUUAACGCACUACUUAUAACUCUGCACAUGCCACAGGUACCUGGCCAAGAUAUCUGUGCAUGAUAGUGAUGAUCAGGCGUCUUUUGUGCUCCUCGGUGAUGCUGGACAUGAGUUAUCCGGACGGAAAGCUUCAGAGUUGGUUGCGAGUUAUUUCGAGGUAAUUACAAACCUGUGUGAUUCUGUUAUUUGAAACUGUAUUCUCCAAGAUAGCUAGAUAUAUAUAGUGACAAUUUUUUAAUGUAUAUUAGGCUAAUGAGAAUGUAGAAGAUGAUCACUUGGUUCCGGUACCUCAGGCUCUUAUCGAUACCAUUGGGCAGACUCGCAAAAGUGAGCUGCAUCAGUGGUGGAACCUAUAUUACUUGCAACUAUGAUCCUCCCGGUAACAUUGUUGGCCAGUGGCCUUACUAAAAGGAAAUAACCUAUGAUCCCCCCUCCUUUGAAUAUGUUUCCAAGUCUAUGUGUUUAUUGUUUGUUUCUAUGUUGUUCAUAUAUAAGCUAAUAAUGAUUGGUUUGUUUGGUCCGGUCGUCUUUUGUACCAUAUUUAUGCGUGUGUUUCUAUAAUGGAAUAAGAAAACUGCAAUGCUACGGCAUGCACUUGCUUUGUUUGCUAUGUAGUAUGUACAAGUCUCCUUUUUUUCAGUUGUGAUAAUAUGCCAAGAAUUUCAAAAUCGUUAGCUGCAUUUUGAUGAAAGCGUUUCCAAACCAUUAGUUGAAUCCUUUUUAAAGAGUUUCCAAACGUUUAGCUUAAUUUUUAUUUUCUCUAUAAUAUGUUUUCUAAUAUAGAUCGAUGUACCGUUUUCAUUUUGCUGUUUUUUUUUUCUAGAAAUACAUAAUUCUGAACUAGCUAUUAUUUCAUCACCUUGGUUAUCGAGAACUAGGCGAUUGAUGGAAGAAAUCGAUCUUUGAACCAAAAAUACAAGUUUUUUACUCUAAAAUAUAUAAUCCACAGCCAAAACUAAUAAUUUUAGAAAUAUUGUUCCAUCCCCCCUAGCUGUCCUAGAUAGUCAUCACUGUCAGCUCUACGAACAUAUAUAUCACCUCAGUUAAAAAAAAAAAAACAUAUAUAUCACCUUUUGCACAUCUAAAACCAAGCCCGUCUCAAACAUAAAAUAGGUCAUGUACUACACAAAUUUUGACACCUAUUUCUUUAUACAAAAACUUUUUUUAACAGGAUCCUAAACUAAGCUGAAAAAAGUUAAAAAAAAAAUGGACCCUGUGCAAAUGCACCUCCAGCACUGGGCCAGAGCCGGACCUGUCUAAAAGCAUAGAUAACGUGCGUACAUUUCACAAUGUUUUGAGAGAAAUUGAUUAAAAUAUGCCGAUUACCACUUCUCAAAAAAAAAUUUUAAUCAAAUACUCUAACAUUUGUGUUUAGGAUUUUUAGUAUUUAAAGGUGUGAUUGGGUUUAUUAACUUUUAUAAAUUAUUAUUUAAUAUUUAUAAAUGUUUUAGGAAAGUUAUUUUAAUAUUAUCACAGAUUUAAGGUAUAUAUGAAAAUAGCUAUCUUUCAAACAAAAGUAAAUUUGAAAAUUGGCAGCAAACUUAGGAUAAAGUUAAAAUUCUGCGAAGUUUUGAAAUUGUGUAAGUUAUAGUCAAUUGAAAACGUGACACAAUGAGAAAUCUAUACUAUUAUUUGAUAAGUGAAUUUACUUCCUUAUCAUAUUUUCCAUGAUCUUAGUGAAUUUGUUUAGUUGUCAUAUUCUCCGUAAUUUUAGGAUAAGUCAUUAGUUUAACUUAUAAUAUUAUUUAAUUUUUUUAUUUUAAUAUAUAAAUUUAUCAUAAUAUUUUAAGAUAAUUAAUAAAUAUUAACCUAUUCUACCUAUAUAUAUACUAUUAUUUUUAAAAUUCUAAUAUAUAAUUAUUAUGAUAUUUAAAACAUUUAAUUAAAUAUAUAUUAACAAUUGAUAUUAAUAGUAUCUACAUAUAGUAUCAUAAUUAUGUUAAUCUUAUAUUUAGUUUAUGGUUUUAAUGACUAUUAUUAUAGCCAAUUUUCUGUUUUUUAUUGAAAAUAUUGUUCAAAAUACAGAUUAUUAUAAAUUUAUAUAUAAAUAUACUAAUAUAUUUUAAUUAAUCGGUUUAUUCGGUUGGAUGGGUUAAUAUCCUAAACCAUGUCCAUAUACUAGAGUUUUCAAAAUAAUACGCAUUUGGUUUAUUUGAUACUACCAAAUCAAAACUAUUUACUUCAUUUUGGUUCGGUUUUAAAUGGUUCAGUUUUACCGGAUUGAAUACUUCUAGGCUAUUGUUAUUUUGUUAACAUUUUAUAGGUUAUAAUUAAUUAUAAUACAUUCAGUCCAAAUACAAUAAGUAUUUAAUUUCAAAUCCAAGUUUCCUAAUUUGAUUAUUACUAUAGAAAAUAUUUUUGAUCCAAAAUCCACAUCCCAUAAAUAAAAAUAUGAAACAAAAGAAGGUAAUUUAACACAUUGAUUACCAGUAUGAAUAUUGAAGUUUUAUAAUUUUAAUAUUAAUCUAAAUUUGUAUCGAAAUUAUUAAAAAUAAAUAUUAGAAUUAAAAAUUAUUAGAUAUAUAAAUAUAUUAGUCUGCACAUGGUGUGGGACAUCAACUAAUUUUCCUAUGUUUUGAUUUUGUGUAAGUUAUAGAAAAUUCUCCUAUCUUUGAACCAAAAAUAAAAGUUUGGUCUCAUUAAUUGGAAUUAGAAAAUACAUAUGUUUUAUUAAAAAAAGAGAGCAGGUUGACCCUAAAAAAAAAGAGCACAAAUAAGACGAUAUAUCAAAUGUGUACUACUACCUGCUCAAUCAACAAAUAUAUUUCUUAGACUGUUGUGGUCUUGAUCCAUUGUCUAGUCCACUUUGACCACUUCAAGAAUGACUCAUACACAUAUUAAGUUUUCAAUGCUGAAAUCAUUCUCUUACAAAGCAUCUUAAUCAGAUUAAUUGAAUAUCUAAGGAUACUAAUAACGGAAGUUUCUCAUUGGAUUUCGUGGAAUUACUUUCUGAAAAAAAAGUAAGAGAAAUAUGAAAAACGGGUUUUAAUUUAGAUACUUUAAAAUUUUGCUAGAAACUUCCAUUCUGUAAUUGUACAAAUUUUCUUUUAGUUUAAAAUUAACCUACUUAUUUUAAUAUAAUUAUUCGUUAUUAUUUAUUAAUAUUAUAUUAUAUUAAAAUAUUUCUUUUAUCAGUGAUCAUGCCUUUAUAGUUCUAUUUAAUUUUAGGUUUUGUCAUCUAAAGAUUUUUUUUGUUUGGAAAUGUAUAUUUUUGUUAUAAAUCCUUUUUCAAGACAUACAAGGUUGUGCUAUUAUAACCAGGAACAAUAUCUACGUACUACAUCUACAUAGAGGAUUCACCAUUCCAAACAAAAAAAUGACAUGUUUUUUUUUCCAAAAUUAUUUUCAGUUUCACGAUUACAAAUUUAGAAUGAGUUCUGAUAAUUGAGGAUAUUUCAAAAGAUUACAUAAUUAUCACAGCAAAUAUUUAUAUAAAAUUUUGUCAAUAAUUGUAAAUUAAUUCCCCAAUAAAUAAAUAAUAAAAUGAGGGAGUAGUCUUCGCUUGACCAGUUGACCCUCUUCUGUCUGGGCCUUGCCAAUGUCCUUUGCACUCUUUCUUUUCUCCAAAGUUUGCCCUCUUUGUUCCCUUAUUAUAAACUCUCUCUGUAGAUUUAUCGAAGCUCAGUCUGUUUUCCCUCUCUCUCCACCCGUAGGAAGACAUGAAUAUCUGAACAAGAUCCACGUGUUGUAGUAUAGAUAAGAUACAUCAAUAAUCAGCAACUCAAAAAAUUUAUUGUGGGUAAUUUUUUUAUCUUUUAUGUUCAAGUGGGAACUCUUCAAAUAUCGUUUCAAAAAGUAAUAUACUAAUAUCCAUACAAAUUUCUGUAAAAUCAAUAACCAAUGGUGUUAAGGAUAUAUAGAAGAUGUGGACAAGAGGUUUGCCUCCGAUAUACUAUUAUUACCACAUCUCUACUUGAUCAUCUUCUCAGAGC